CCUACGGGGGGCAGCAGUGAGGAAUAUUGGUCAAUGGACGAGAGUCUGAACCAGCCAAGUAGCGUGAAGGAUGACUGCCCUAUGGGUUGUAAACUUCUUUUAUAUGGGAAUAAAAUGUUCCACGUGUGGGAUUUUGUAUGUACCAUAUGAAUAAGGAUCGGCUAACUCCGUGCCAGCAGCCGCGGUAAUACGGAGGAUCCGAGCGUUAUCCGGAUUUAUUGGGUUUAAAGGGAGCGUAGGUGGAUUGUUAAGUCAGUUGUGAAAGUUUGCGGCUCAACCGUAAAAUUGCAGUUGAAACUGGCAGUCUUGAGUACAGUAGAGGUGGGCGGAAUGCGUGGUGGAGCGGUGAAAUGCUUAGAUAUCGCGAAGAACUCCGAUUGCGAAGGCAGUUCACUGGACUGCAACUGACACUGAGGCUCGAAAGUGUGGGUAUCAAACAGGAUUAGAUACCCCAGUAGUC
rnacentral:rRNA from 1 species